GAUGAACGCUGGCGGCGUGCUUAACACAUGCAAGUCGAACGGAAAGGCCCUGCUUUUGUGGGGUGCUCGAGUGGCGAACGGGUGAGUAACACGUGAGUAACCUGCCCUUGACUUUGGGAUAACUUCAGGAAACUGGGGCUAAUACCGGAUCGGAGCUCCUGCUGCAUGGUGGGGGUUGGAAAGUUUCGGCGGUUGGGGAUGGACUCGCGGCUUAUCAGCUUGUUGGUGGGGUAGUGGCUUACCAAGGCGUUGAGGGGUAGCUGGCCUGAGAGGGGGACCGGGCCCACUGGAAGUGAGACAGGGUCCAGAGUCAUACGGGAGGCAGAAGUGGGGAAUAGUGGACAAUGGGCGGAAGCCUGAUCCAGCCAUAGCGAGUGGGUGGAGGAGGCCUUCGGGUUGUAAAGCCGUUUUGUUGGGAAAGAAAAGCAGCAGGUUAAUACCCCGCUGUUCUGACGGUACCCAAAGAAUAAGCACCGGCUAACUUCGUG
rnacentral:rRNA from 1 species